UGGGAACGUCUCUCGGAGCUAUUAGAGUGGCGGACGGGUGAGUAACACGUGGGAAUAUGCCUUUCGGUACGGAACAACGCCUGGAAACGGGUGCUAAUACCGUAUACGCCCCCUGGGGGAAAGAUUUAUCGCCGAAAGAUUAGCCCGCGCUGGAUUAGCUGGAUGGUGAGGUAAGAGCUCACCAUGGCGACGAUCCAUAGCUGGUUUGAGAGGAUGAUCAGCCACACUGGGACUGAGACACGGCCCAGACUCCUACGGGAGGCAGCAGUGGGGAAUAUUGGACAAUGGGGGCAACCCUGAUCCAGCCAUGCCGCGUGAGUGAAGAAGGCCCUAGGGUUGUAAAACUCUUUCAGCAGGGAAGAUAAUGACUGUACCUGCAGAAGAAGCUCCGGCUAACUCCGUGCCAGCAGCCGCGGUAAUACGGAGGGAGCUAGCGUUGUUCGGAAUUACUGGGCGUAAAGCGCGCGUAGGCGGCUUGGAAAGUUGGAGGUGAAAGCCCGGGGCUCAACCCCGGAACUGCCUCCAAAACUCCCAAGCUCGAAUCCUGGAGAGGUGAGUGGAAUUCCUAGUGUAGAGGUGAAAUUCGUAGAUAUUAGGAAGAACACCAGUGGCGAAGGCGGCUCACUGGCCAGGUAUUGACGCUGAGGUG
rnacentral:rRNA from 1 species